UCAUGAAGAAUGUGGUAACAGUAAAUACCACAAUAUACAUUCAACGAAUUAAGAAGAGAAUAUUUACCUUCCUAAAUGAAAGCGUAACCGUAAUGACCAGAUUAAAAUCGACAUGUCCCGUCUUUAAUGUUUCCAUCAUUAUCCACUAAAAUGGGCCUACUUUUUUUUAAAGCCCAAUACAGUGUUUAUAAUCAAACUUUCUUACGUGACAGAGAUGAUCGAAGUGUUCACAAUCUAAUGAGAUUAUGUUUCACCGAGUGUGUUUUAGGUUUUUGAUUUGUUAAUGAUGAUGAGCGUGUUUCGUUGGUGUUAGGCUGGUGUGAACAAACUUGUGGAUCUAGUUGGAGUUACUUUAGGUCCUAAAGGGAGAAACGUUGUUCUUGAAAGUAAGUACGGUUCUCCGAGAAUCGUUAAUGACGGUGUAACAGUUGCUAGAGAGGUUGAGCUUGAGAAUCCAGUUGAGAACAUUGGUGCUAAGCUAGUGAGACAAGCUGCUUCCAAGAAUAAUGACUUAGCUGGUGAUGGAACGAUGACUUCGGUUGUUCUUGCGCAAGGUCUCCUCGCUGAAGGUGUCAAGGUGGUGGCUGCUGGUGCAAACCCUGUUUUGAUUACCAGAGGAAUUGAGAAAAACACGAAGGCUCUUGUUGUCGAGUUGAAGAAGAUGUCAAAAGAGG